CCUGCCCUGUGAUUAUUUUAACGGCCGCAGUACUCUGACUGUGCUAAGGUAGCAUAAUAAAUUGGCUUUUAAUUGAGGUCGAGUAUGAAAGGGAGCAUGGGAAGAAGCUGUCUCCAUAAAAUUAUAUAAAAUUUACUUAAUAGGUGAAAAUACCUAUAAUUAUUAUUUAAGACGAGAAGACCCUUAGAAUUAUAGCUAAUAUAAAUAAAAGAUUUUUUUUGGUUUUUGUUGGGGCAACAUUGUUAGGAAAAUAACCAACAUUUUUUAAAAUUCUAUACGACUUUUUUUAACAGUAAAAUGUAAAUUACCUUAGGGAUAACAGCAUAAUUAUUUUCAUAGAUUGUGACCUCGAUGUUGGACUAGGGACUUUAAUUAUUAGCCAUUAUUGAAGAAGGUUCUGUUCGAACUAUAAUAACCU
rnacentral:rRNA from 1 species